GAGGGUAUUGUUCAGCGGUAGAGUGUGUGCUUAGUAUGCACGAGGUCCUGGGUUCAAUCCCCAGUACCUCUA
rnacentral:tRNA from 1 species